GAGGAUAUAUAAAGGCGAGGUCACGAGAGGUGAGGUAAUACAUGUUCAUAUGUAUAUACAUGACUAUUUGUUGAAGGAGUGUGUGUGUGAAUGUCAGUUUGUGUGUGUGUGUGCGUGUGUGUGUGUGUGUUCGCUAAGGUUGAGAUAUGAACAUUUAUAAUUCCUAAUGAUAAUUAAGACAAAUGUUUCCUCGGGUCUAGACCACUUCUAAAGCUUAAUACACGGAAAUGUAAAUACAAUAUACGUUAGUUGCCAUAACUUGUAGAGCAGAUCAUAAUUACAAGUUGAUAUGUACUUGAGUUCUUGCAGUUUUUUUUGUCAAUUGUAUAAUCUAUGACGUCAGAUGAUCUCUAUUUGUGUAAUAUAAAUAAUGAAGUAAACACAUGUAUUCCCUUGUAGCUGAUCUACAAUUGGCAUUUAGUAACCUUAAUUCUUUCAUCGGAAAGCAAAGGCAGGCAAUGAUGCAUGACUUGUGAAAUAUGGACAUUAAAAAAUGGAAAAAACCGUUAACAUAUAAAUAGCGAUUUUGGAAAAACCCGUGUACAUAUAAAUAGCGAGUCUGCGAAUAACAACUUGAAUGCCACUUGCGACCCGUAAUAGAGGUCUUAUUCAGGUAGUCAUGAUCCUUAUGAUGCUUACAUCAUAUGUGUUUAACAGUCUCGAAAACAUCGACACGAAUAUAGGACAAGCUUAAAAAAUAAGUCGCCAGCUCCUUGAAAGCCCCAUGUAUGCUGCUGAAAGAUGAAUCGUGAUACACAUCAUCCACCCGGCAUAUCGGCUUUUAAAUCAAUGAACUUCUACCAAUUCAAGCAUCAACUAAUAAGCAGCAAAAAGCCUCAGGUCAAAGGUGGAUCUCAAAAUGCACGGCAAGAUCAAGGGUCUACCAAAUUCAGAGCGCAGAUGAUAAAAAUUGGGGAUACAAAGUUGGACCAUGCACACGGUACCAGGGAACACGCAUUAAAUCAGACAAAGAGUUCGUUAAGCUUCACUUUAAAUAAAUCCGCGAAAAAUGUAUCAGUGGUGUUGACAAACGAUUCGAUAGAACAGAACGAUUCCGGUGAUGAGAAUAGGUCACUACUUCCACAUUGUAAAAACACAUACCCAACAGUGUUAUUGCGACAACACGAAGGUGGUAAUGACGUCUAUGUCGGACAAAUUGAUAUACAAGAUAUCCAUCUCGAUGGUGAUGUCACAGAAACAGACGAAAAUGAUGACAAAGGUGGCAUUAGUAAGGGGGAGUAUAAUAAAUACGAGUUGGAUAUUGAAACAACUUUACACAUAGAUAAAAAUCAGCCUUCGGCUUCCAUUGGUAGAUCUUGUCAUCCUAUUCGGACUGACCGUUAUUCGCAUGAAAGGGUUAAAUGUACAAGAAGACAAAAACCUGCAGGCAUCACCAAUAAAGAAGUACUACAGGAGUUUUUUCAGGCCACUGUCGACAACUUCGAGGAGAAAGGAUGCUUCAAGCAGCCACCCGAAUUGAUUCGUCAACAUGUACUCUAUCCCCAGAAAAAGGAAUAUAGCAUGCCACCACUGACGCCAGUCCCUAUAUAUCCGAAUGAUAAAAAUGAGCAAAUUAAUAUAAACCCUUUCUUUCCUUUGUUGAAUACAUACAGACAAUGGCCAAAUGAUUUACCGGUAUCACCAUCAGCGCUUGCAAGGGCAGGUUUCCAUAGCGUCACAACAAAUGACCAGAGGGUGGGCUGUCGGUCUUGUGGUAUAGAACUACAUAUAGACGAUUUCAACGGAAAUGACCCUUAUACAGUCCACAGACAGAGGUCAUCUACAUGUCCUGCAUUGGAUCGGGAGGGAUGUAAUUCAACGGUAAUUCAACAAGCAACAACACCGUCUUUGAACGUGAACAACACCGAAAUAGAUGAUGUUGCCCUGCAGCGAUUGCAACUUACUACUGAUAGCCUCUCCAAUGCGAACGGGACUCACCAGAUAGAAACGAUCAAUGAAAGACAUACGCAUCCUAAUGAAAGAAGCAACAUACAUACCGACAGCAUACAAGGGGCAUCAGCAUCAGCAUCGCCAGGAUCUUCAGCAUCAGCAGCACCGCAUCAGGUAAUAACGUACUCUCCACGUAACUCGAGUCAGGUGUCAUCGGAGUCUAGGAGACAGUCUUUCAGAAACUGGCCUGGUUCGGACCAGGACAUCGAUGCUUUAGUUCAAGCUGGAUUUUUCUUUACAGGCGAGGAGGAUAUAGUCCGUUGUUUCCACUGCGACAUAGGGCUGGCUGAAUGGGACCCAUCGGAUGACCCCUGGGUCGAACAUGCGCGUCACAGCCCAGAUUGUCCGUUUUUGAGAAGUCAACGAGAUGACCAUUUUAUCUCUAAUAUCCAAAGGCGUUGGUCACAGAUUUACACUCCAAAGCAUCCCCACAUGAGCCAAACGAGCACGAGACUCGAAUCCUAUGACUCCUCAUGGCCCCGGGACUACGUAAUCCAGCAACCAGAACAUUUGGCUGAGGCUGGUUUUUUCUACACAGGUGAGACGGACACUGUCCGAUGUCACUACUGUGACGGAGGUCUCCGGGAGUGGGAACCAAACGAUGACCCAUGGACAGAACACGCAAGGUGGUUUCCCUUCUGUAAAUUUGUCAUCAAGGUCAAAGGUUUGUCCUUCAUACAGGCCGCAGCUCUUGAAGAGGAUAAUGACAGGGAACUUGACAAUUCUACUGGAGUGGCAACACCAUAUACACGUGCUGAGCCUAGCUUUGAGGAACGAUGUCGCAAAAGGGAGCAGGAAAAUCCAAUGCUGUCAGCGGCAGUAGAAAGCGUAAAGGAAUUUGGUUACAAGAAAAAAAUGAUCAAGAAUGCAAUUCUUGUCCACAUUGAAACAUCAGGAAAGCGGGAAUUCAGUGAAAGUGAUUUGAUGGAGAUUAUAUUUAAGUUGGAAGAGAAGGAAUCGUCGCUGGAGGCAGAUGGAAUAGAUUCGGAAUCUUGUUCAAGUUCAGAUGAAAUCAGUCUAACCCCUAAAGCUUUGGCUAUGGAGAAUGAAUACUUGAAGACACAACAGCGAUGCGAGUUGUGCCGGAUAAGGGACAGGUGUAUGCUCUUCGUACCAUGUGGUCACAGAAUCACAUGUGAGCCAUGUGGAAAAAGCCAGACAUCAUGUUCAGUUUGUUCCCAGGAGGUUACGUCAUGCGUGAAGACAUUUUUGGGAUAAAAUACAUAUUCCACUGCAUAUAACAGAUGUAUUCGCUAGUUUGUGUAAACAUUGACAAUCCAAACACAAAUUUAAACCAGAUCAGUAUAAAGGUCUUCUCUCGGACAGAACUAUGUACCAUACUUAUUGCAAUCCUACACUUCUUAAAGGUCAGGAUUAAAAUUAAAGACUAACAUAUUUGUCAGGCUGUAGAUAGAGGAUGUCAUGUUGAAUCAAAGGAAAACUAUAAAACAAACGUGCUAUUUUGCUAUUUUGUCGAAUGAUGGACGUGGGAAAUAUCUCCAAACCUAGUAAAUACUUAAUUAAUACGCUUCGUCAAAGUUACAAGAGUUCUUUAUCUUGGCCAAACUUUCCGUCAUAUUUCAGUAAGUAGUUUAAUUAACGUCAGACAGUAAAUGUGGUUUUUAAUGAUACACAUUAUUCGUCCACUUAUAAAAAAUAUCUGUGACUUCAACACCUAUCUUUCGGUUCGUUACCCAAACUGAUGGUGCAUCAACCAUGAUCAGUAUCAGUAUUUGCUAUUCAAACACAUAAAUAUAAAAUGCUAGUUACUCAAAGUAGCACACAAGAUAGUUACUAAAAUCAUCAUUGUGUCAGCGACAGUGGACUAAAUCAUGUAUCUGGAAACCAGAAGAGCAUCAUUUAAAAAACACACUUCAAAGAGAAACGAGGAAAAAACAAGAAUCAAUAGCAUCCGACCUUGAAAAUGAAGAGCUGUAACUCGUAGGUAUUCGACAUGGUCAACAAAAUAUUAAGCCUGAUGAAUUAUAACAUCAACCAAUUAAAUGCUAAUGUUAUUUAUUAUAUCCAAAUACAUGAUUUUGUUAUACUCAGUGACUGCAAGGUCAUAAUAGAAGAUGUGUAGUCUCAAUUAAAUAAUUUUGAAAUAUCAAUUCAUAAAUGUUUUGGCUAUUCUAAUAUACAAAACGACGUUGUUGACCCGAACAAUGUGCUAUGUGCGCUAUGACCCGAGAGAUGUAUUUGAGGAGAUACGUUAUUAUUUGAACGAAUGUGACUGAUUUUUCACCUACCAUGUUGACAGGUUGUAGUUGAUACAUUACCCUUCGGUUUGCUACGAUUAUCAGGAUUUCCGUGAUGGAAUUCGAAUGUUGAUGAACAAACUAAUUAUGCAGGGCAAGGAGGUCGAUGAAGACAAUGGACGAGUGUUAUGAUCGCUACAAUUAAUUGUAUCAUGUUUUUAUUUGGAAAGGUUUAUUUCCUUGUGCAUUAAACAUACAGAAACUUUGAUUAUGUUCAUUGGCGUAGCUUUUGGUUUCGUGUUUACUCUCCCGGACUUUUUUCGAGGUCAUGACAUAUUUUGAAUGUGAGAUUUACAUGGCCGUUUCGCCAAUAAAGCAUUAGAUGCUUACCCUUUCGGACAUAUGAGGUCGUUUUUUCCUCGUUAGUUUUCAAUGGUGUCUUAUUUGUAUUUUGGUAUUCUCAUAAUUUCAUUACAACAGAGGAAUGAUUCAUAUCAAGCCGAAUAUUUUAGUUUGAUUCUAAACCAAUCAAAUUUCCAUGUAUUUUUGGAACCCGGGAGAGUAUAUGACACAUUACUAGAAAAUUAAUUAAGUGCCAUUCCCAUGAGUUUCAUUCAGUGAAGAUUUAUUGAGAUAAAAUGUUAUCGUGAACACUAAAUUUAGUUUUUACUAAAUAUGGAGUAGCUUUGUAAAUACAAAUUGUAAAGUUUCGAUAUCCGAAAUCAUAUUUAUUGAUAAUACAUGGUAUUGGUUUGUUCAGCGUAUUUUAGUAUUGACAUUAUUGUAAAUAUUGAUUUAUCACAUAAUGAAAUUGUUAUCCAGUGAAUAUACCCAUGUCAAGUUUUUUUUGCGUAUUGACCCAUGUAAUAUGUUAUCAGCACUGUGAUUGGUUGUAAGUUUCAAUUGUUUCAAUUGUGACGUCACGCCUAGGACGAGAUGACCUCAUAGACUUACACACUGGAAUUAAAAUGGUGGCUUUUUACAUUUCAAGGUUGCAUGAAAAUUGUCGUUUAACGCGAAUAAAUGCCACAAAUCUCGAUUAUGUGAUAAAAAGGAUAUUACACUCGUUUUCGUCUUAUAUGAAAUAUGAGCCAUAGGCUCGCUAAACAGAAACAUUCUUUGACUCGUUUCAUAAAUCUCAUAUGAAAUGGAAACGCAUGUAUUGUUCAUUUGUACAUGUAGAUAAAUGUAUAUAUUUCAACAGAAUAAGACAACAUGAUAUUUUUAUCAGUCAAUUAAACUCAAAAGAGAUGAUAUGGUAUUCGUAACGUAUCAUACCUAAAAAGAGAUAUAUUUAUAUGCAUCCAUGUACAAAUCUUGUUAAUCGUCGCUCAUAUAGAUACAUACAAAAAGACGUUGUUGGCGUUGUCCACUCUGACCUUUACCACUCAUGUUAAAGAGUUGCCAUUAUGGAAUAGUUUCGUACCCCUGUCACCUCAAAACACGAUCUGUAAAUGAAAACUUAUAUUCUUAUUAAUCAAUAGGAAUCUGUGCGAAAUCAAAGUUAUAUGUAUAUUGAAUUUUUAAAAUAGAUCACUUGAGUACAUUGGUUUCUUUUAUGAAUUGAUUACCUUUUUUUCAUAAAUAACUGAUACCAGCAAAUGAAAGACAAACCAUAUCUUGCAAUGCUGGUGAUGAAAAUAUAAAAAAAUACAUGUAUACAGUAAAUAUUAGAUGUACGCUUUCCUGCUCAGUGCAUUUAUAAAUAAUGUUUACUAUAAAUUUCAUGCAUAGAUGGUAUUUGCUAUGACUUGCAUGUAAUGAAUAAACAUAAGAAUACAAUGUU
rnacentral:misc_RNA from 1 species